CGAGCUUAAAUAGAAGAUAGAAUCUUUUUUAUUAAAAAUUUCUUUACGAGAUUUGAACGCGAAAUAUUUCUGACCCAAAUCCCCGACGCAAGUUACAGCUAGCUAAUCAGCAUUUUGAAUGCAGAGCCAAUAUAUAAAUCAAAGAAAUCCUGCUCUAAUUCACAAAUUUCCUUCUAAGAAAAGAAAAAAUGGAAAGCAUGAAGAAAUUAUAUAACCGAAAAUAUCAGUAGGAAACUGCUAAUUAAGCAGAAAAGUAAAGAAAAAAACUUCAUUCUUCCACCAAUGAGAAAUGAAUAUGAUAUUGCGAAACUGAACUGCCCCCAUAUAUGUCAUGUCCAGAGAAUUCUGGUGAAAACCCAGAUUUUCGGUUGAAUAUUUUUGGCAGCUAAAGCAAGUUUGUAGCACAGAUUACAGGAAAAUCAAAAGAAUGAAUACCCAAAACUCGAAACAGAUCCACACAUUUAUUAUGCAGAGCUCUGGAUAAAAAAACCUAAUGUAACACUAUAUAAAUUUCCUUAUCCAUGAAAACUGAUAUGAGCUACAGCUGCACUAAAAAUUAAUCUAAAAGUACAUGUUUCUUUUAAUUACACUAGUACUCCUGUACAAGUAGCUCCAGACUAUGAAAUGAAACUGAAACUGAAACCAAGGUGGCCGGUUUUCUUUUUAGGGCUCGCCUCGGUCACGCCAGCACACGAGCAUUGCUAUGCAACGUCGGAGGAUGUAGAAUUUGGCUCGCUGCUUCUUAACCAAGUGACUGCAUUUUUGACCAAAAGAUCUGCAUGGUUCGCAGCUAGCGUCCUUGUUUCUAGGAGACCUUGUCUCGUUUUCUUUGCCUGCCAUGUGAACAACUAAGCUCUUUUUUACUUUGUUUCUUGCUUGAGAUGAUGUAGCGUUGUUGUUGAUCGGCACUGCUAGUACAAAAUAGCAGUAAAUAUGAAAGGAUGAAGGGUUGAAUGAGCAGUUGGUGUUAUUUAUAUAGAAAAAGGAGAGAUUUUUUUGAAUCAUAUAUGUUUUAAUUUGGUUCUGGGUUGGGCUCCCCCGCACGGAACCAAAAUAAAAUAGGAUUUAUAUAUAUUUU
rnacentral:lncRNA from 1 species